UUUGAUGGUAGUGUAUUGGACUACCAUGUCGAUCACGGGUAACGGAGAAUUAGGGUUCGAUUCCGGAGAGGGAGCCUGAGAAACGGCUACCACAGCUACGGUAGGCAGCAGGUGCGUAAAUUACCCAAUCCUAAUUCAGGAAGGUAGUUACAGGAAGUUUGUGCAUUAGUAUUUAUACUAGACACAAAUGAAUACAUUUAAGCAUUGUGUGUUAGAUUGGAGGGCAAGUUUUGGUGCCAGCAGCCGCGGUAAUUCCAGCUCCAAUAGUGUAUAUUUACGUUGCUGCAGUUAAAAAGCUCGUAGUUGAAUUUCUGUCAGGAUCUGAGGUAAACCGAUGAGAAUGACAUCCGCGCCGGACGGCUCAACAGCUCUGCUUUGAGUCGAAUGCGUGUUUUACUUUGAAAAAAUCAGAGUGUUCCAGGCAGGCUUUGCUUGAAUACAUCAGCAUGGAAUAAUGGAAUAGGACAGGUCGAAAAUUGGUUAUUUGACUUGUAAUGAUUAACAGGGACAGUUGGGGGCGUUUGUAUUCAAUAGUCAGAGGUGAAAUUCUUGGAUUUGUUGAAGACAAACUAAUGCGAAAGCAUUCGCCAAGGAUGUUUUCGUUAAUCAAGAACGAAAGUUAGGGGAUCAAAGACGAUUAGAUACCGU
rnacentral:rRNA from 1 species